UGGAUCCAGACUUUGAUUAUGGCUCAGGAUGAACGCUAGCUACAGGCUUAACACAUGCAAGUCGAGGGGCAGCGAUGAAGAAAGCUUGCUUUCUUCAGGCGGCGACCGGCGCACGGGUGAGUAACGCGUAUCGAACCUGCCUCAUACUCAGGAAUAGCCUUGCGAAAGUAAGAUUAAUGCCCGAUGUUAUUAGGAUAUCACAUGAUAUUUUAAUUAAAGAUUUAUCGGUAUGAGAUGGCGAUGCGUCCCAUUAGCUUGUUGGCGGGGUAACGGCCCACCAAGGCAUCGAUGGGUAGGGGUUCUGAGAGGAAGGUCCCCCACAUUGGAACUGAGACACGGUCCAAACUCCUACGGGAGGCAGCAGUGAGGAAUAUUGGUCAAUGGACGCAAGUCUGAACCAGCCAAGUAGCGUGCAGGAAGACGGCCCUCUGGGUUGUAAACUGCUUUUAGUUGGGAAUAAAGUGCAUCACGUGUGAUGUUUUGUAUGUACCAUCAGAAAAAGGACCGGCUAAUUCCGUGCCAGCAGCCGCGGUAAUACGGAAGGUCCAGGCGUUAUCCGGAUUUAUUGGGUUUAAAGGGAGCGCAGGCGGACCUUUAAGUCAGCUGUGAAAUACGGCGGCUCAACCGUCGAACUGCAGUUGAUACUGGAGGUCUUGAGUGCACACAGGGAUACUGGAAUUCAUGGUGUAGCGGUGAAAUGCUCAGAUAUCAUGAAGAACUCCGAUCGCGAAGGCAGGUAUCCGGGGUGCAACUGACGCUGAGGCUCGAAAGUGCGGGUAUCAAACAGGAUUAGAUACCCUGGUAGUCCGCACAGUAAACGAUGAAUACUCGCGAUUUGCGAUACACAGUAAGUCGCCAAGCGAAAGCGUUAAGUAUUCCACCUGGGGAGUACGCCGGCAACGGUGCAACUCAAAUGAAUUGACGGA
rnacentral:rRNA from 2 species